GUUGAACGCUGGCGGCAGGCCUAACACAUGCAAGUCGAACGGCAACGGGGGGUAGCUUGCUACCUCGCCGGCGAGUGGCGGACGGGUGAGUAAUGCCUGGGGAGCUGCCCAAUCGAGGGGGAUACCAGUUGGAAACGACUGCUAAUACCGCAUACGCCCUGAGGGGGAAAGGUGGGGAUCUUCGGACCUACCGCGAUUGGAUGCACCCAGGUGGGAUUAGCUAGUUGGUGAGGUAACGGCUCACCAAGGCGACGAUCUCUAGCUGGUCUGAGAGGAUGACCAGCCACACUGGAACUGAGACACGGUCCGGACUCCUACGGGAGGCAGCUGUGGGGAAUAUUGCACAAUGGGGGAAACCCUGAUGCAGCCAUGCCGCGUGUGUGAAGAAGGCCUUCGGGUUGUAAAGCACUUUCAGCGAGGAGGAAAGGUUGGCAGCUAAUACCUGUCAGCUGUGACGUUACUCGCAGAAGAAGCACCGGCUAACUCCGUGCCAGCCGCCGCGGUAAAAC
rnacentral:rRNA from 1 species